UUUUUUCUUAUUCCCACUGUCUUAUCCCAAGAUAACUUUUAGUUAGGGUCUAGACCACCAAAAAAUUAUCCGCCUUUAUCCACCUCCGGGGGCAUAAAUUAUUUGCCUCCAUAUCCGCCAACGAAACACCCCGGGAAAAAAAUUAUCUGAAAGAAAAAGUUAUCCCCUUCAAAUUCGGUAGCCAAACGACCCCUUAAUAUACUAUUUUUUUAAAUUUUAUCUUUAAUAUACCUAAUUAAGUUUUAUGUGGUUAUUUGCUAAUUAUAAAUGUCAUCUUCUAAGCUUUUUAUUACUCCCUCUAUCUCGUAAACAAUAUAAAUUAAAAAUUAUAUAUGAUAUUUUGAAAACUUUGUAUAAAUAAUCAAUUAAGAUAUUUUGAUUGGUGUAAAAAAAAAAAAUUAUUUAUGAAAUUUUAUUAUUUGCUCGUUCUAUUAAAGAGUACAAAUGUCCAAAAUGGACUUGUAAUAUGUGAUUGAGAGUAUUGAAUAUAAUUUAAGGAUAGUUACACGUGUAAAUUGAAGCUUGCUAAUAUCAAAAAUAAAAAAAAAACUAAUAAAAUUCAUUGAGUCGUAUCUACAAGAAGCAUGAAAGACUUAGAAAAAAUACUUUAAGACAUUCUCAUAAUAAA
rnacentral:lncRNA from 1 species